rnacentral:rRNA from 1 species
UACGUAGGGGGCUAGCGUUGUCCGGAUUUAUUGGGCGUAAAGAGCGUGUAGGCGGCCAGGUAGGUCUGCUGUGAAAACUCGAGGCUCAACCUCGAGACGUCGGCGGAAACCAUCUGGCUAGAGUCCGGAAGAGGAGAGUGGAAUUCCUGGUGUAGCGGUGAAAUGCGUAGAUAUCUGGAGGAACACCGGUGGCGAAGGCGGCGUUCUGGACUGUAACUGACACUGAUGAACGAAAGCCAGGGGAGCAAACGGG